CACAAGACACCCCCAGAGAUGUGCUUACACAUCUACACUACUUCCAUGUUAAGGAAGCACUACUCCAAGCAACAAGAGCAGGCGGAGAGCUCCCACAGAAGUACAAGAACAUUAAAAUGUUCACAGACCUUUCCGCAGCCACAUUGCAAAAACGAAAGGAAUUCAGGGAAACAACAGAAGCCCUCCGCCACAACAAUAUACAGUACAGAUGGGGAUUUCCAAUCCGCCUCCUAAU